rnacentral:rRNA from 1 species
GAUAACGGCUGGAAACGGCUGCUAAUACCGCAUGAUAACUGAGGUUCAAAGGCGCAAGUCGCCUGGGGAGGAGCCUGCGUACGAUUAGCUAGUUGGUGGGGUAAAGGCCUACCAAGGCUGCGAUCGUUAGCUGGUCUGAGAGGAUGAUCAGCCACAUUGGGACUGAGACACGGCCCAAACUCCUACGGGAGGCAGCAGUGGGGAAUAUUGGACAAUGGGCGAAAGCCUGAUCCAGCAAUGCCGCGUGUGUGAAGAAGGUCUUCGGAUUGUAAAGCACUUUCGACGGGGACGAUGAUGACGGUACCCGUAGAAGAAGCCCCGGCUAACUUCGUGCCAGCAGCCGCGGUAAUACGAAGGGGGCUAGCGUUGCUCGGAAUGACUGGGCGUAAAGGGCGCGUAGGCGGAUUGCACAGUCAGAUGUGAAAUUCCUGGGCUUAACCUGGGGGCUGCAUUUGAUACGUGUGAUCUAGAGUGAGGAAGAGGGUCGUGGAAUUCCCAGUGUAGAGGUGAAAUUCGUAGAUAUUGGGAAGAACACCGGUGGCGAAGGCGGCGACCUGGUCCUGACUGACGCU